UCGGGAAUUUUGCGCAAUGGACGAAAGUCUGACGCAGCAACGCCGCGUGAGGGAUGAAGGCCUUCGGGUUGUAAACCUCUUUUGUCAGGGACGAUGAUGACGGUACCUGACGAAUAAGCCACGGCUAACUACGUGCCAGCAGCCGCGGUAAUACGUAGGUGGCAAGCGUUGUCCGGAUUUACUGGGCGUAAAGAGCGCGCAGGCGGUCGUUCAAGUCGCGUGUGAAAGCCCCCGGCUCAACUGGGGAGGGUCACGCGAUACUGGUCGACUCGAAGGCAGGAGAGGGUAGUGGAAUUCCCGGUGUAGUGGUGAAAUGCGUAGAUAUCGGGAGGAACACCAGUGGCGAAGGCGACUACCUGGCCUGUUUCUUGACGCUGAGGCGCGAAAGCUAGGGGAGCAAACGGGGAUUAGAUACCCCGGUAGUCCUAGCCGUAAACGAUGGACACUAGGUGUUGGUGGUAUCAACCCCGCAGUGCCGAAGCUAACGCAUUAAG
rnacentral:rRNA from 1 species